GUUAGUUCCUAAAGAGAUAAAAGUGUGUUUUUGAUAUUGGUUCUAAGAGUUCGAUUUCAAUAACUACCUGGUGUGCAAUGAAGAUAAUGUGCUGUGUGAGUGGAGAUUAUUGUAACAUCCUAACUUAUGUUUAUGGUUUUAAAGAAAAACUAAAAGAAUUGGUUUAGUUAUGUCAUUAAAUUUCAGGUAUUUUUGGUCACUUGUCAAACAAAAUUUAUGUUGAAACGUGUUUGAACUGUUAUAGCUAAACAUAUUAGUGAUCGAUCGAAAAAGGGGUUUCAAUACCGUGGGAAUGAGUGUAAAGAACAUGAAAAAUCAUGCAGUGAUUCUAAGCAGUGCCAGUACUGUAAUAUUUAAGAUUUCAUAGAAAAUUUAAAAUUAAAGCCCUUAUUUAUAUAUUAAAACAUUGCUAAAUUUUUGAAAUUUCAAUACAACUUCUAUUAUAUAAAAACUAACAAAAUCUAUUAAUUUUAGAAAAAUAAGCAUAACUCAACUUACAAAGUAAUAAUUAUUUGAUUAAUAACUGUUAUUUUUAUUCAUUUUCAUAUUUAAAUGAAAAUUGACAUUUAAAUUUUAACCGUGUUCAGUUUUAUUAAUAGAUCUUAUCAUUUUUACACUUUUCUUAUAUUUUGGACAGUACAAAU
rnacentral:lncRNA from 1 species